CAGCCGCCGCGGGAAAACGUAGGGUGCAAGCGUUAGUCGGAAUUACUGGGCGUAAAGCGUGCGCAGGCGGUUCGUUAAGACAGAUGUGAAAUCCCCGGGCUUAACCUGGGAACUGCAUUUGUGACUGGCGGGCUAGAGUAUGGCAGAGGGGGGUAGAAUUCCACGUGUAGCAGUGAAAUGCGUAGAGAUGUGGAGGAAUACCGAUGGCGAAGGCAGCCCCCUGGGCCAAUACUGACGCUCAUGCACGAAAGCGUGGGGAGCAAACAGGAUUAGAUACCCGGGUAGUCCCUGUCUCUUAUAU
rnacentral:rRNA from 1 species